UACAGAGGUCUCAAGCGUUUGUUCGGAUUCAUUGGGCGUAAAGGGUGCGUAGGUGGCAGGGUAAGUCGGAUGUGAAAUCCCGGGGCUCAACCUCGGAACUGCAUUCGAUACUGCUUUGCUGGAGUACUGGAGAGGAGAUUGGAAUUUUACGGUGUAGCAGUGAAAUGCGUAGAUAUCGUAAGGAAGACCAGUGGCGAAGGCGGAUCUCUGGACAGUUACUGACACUGAGGCACGAAGGCCAGGGGAGCAAACGGG
rnacentral:rRNA from 1 species